rnacentral:rRNA from 1 species
UACGAAGGGGGCUAGCGUUGUUCGGAAUUACUGGGCGUAAAGCGUGCGCAGGCGGUUUUGUAAGCCAGAUGUGAAAGCCCCGGGCUUAACCUGGGAAUGGCAUUUGGGACUGCAAGGCUUGAGUGCGGCAGAGGAGACUGGAAUUCCCGGUGUAGCAGUGAAAUGCGUAGAUAUCGGGAGGAAUACCGAUGGCGAAGGCAGGUCUCUGGGCUGACACUGACGCUCAUGCACGAAAGCGUGGGGAGCAAACAGG